rnacentral:rRNA from 1 species
UACGUAGGGUGCAAGCGUUAAUCGGAAUUACUGGGCGUAAAGCGUGCGCAGGCGGUGAUGUAAGACAGAUGUGAAAUCCCCGGGCUCAACCUGGGAACUGCAUUUGUGACUGCAUAGCUAGAGUACGGUAGAGGGGGAUGGAAUUCCGCGUGUAGCAGUGAAAUGCGUAGAUAUGCGGAGGAACACCGAUGGCGAAGGCAGUCCCCUGGACCUGUACUGACGCUCAUGCACGAAAGCGUGGGGAGCAAACAGG